CCCAGCACUUUUGUAUCAGUUUCAACAGAAGAGAAUGAUUUCCUAGGUUCUCAGUUUUUCUGCCUGACUCAGGGUGCCAGUCCAGUGUCUAAAGUCUCCUCGGGGUGGCGGUGGCCAGUGUUUUUCUUCCUCUUCCUCCUCUGAUUGGGACAGAAAUGUCUUACUCGCCUGAGUGAGCAGGGCACACACGCAGGCGGGCUCUCUCUCUGCCCGCUUUGAAGCCGACUAAUUAGGGCCUGGGUUGUCACAGCUGGCUUCCCCUGCGCCUCCCCUACCCCUGCCCCUGCCGCUGCCCCUGCCUCCCAGCCUGAAAGCUCCUCCCCUGCUGCCUUGUCUUCCACGGCCUGACUCGUGGCUCCGCCAAGCCAUCCGGCAAGGCCCUGGGAUCUGAGGCCUGGAAGGGCCAAGGCGAAAGCAACCGAGAAGGGACAAGAUGAGGUGUGGGACAUGGAGCGAGCCCACAGGCCACGGGGUUGCUAGAGGACUGCCUCUUCCUGGAACCCCUCAUUCAUAAGGAAGCCUGGAAGAGAGCCGGCCUGCGCUAGGGGCUGAGCCGUGGGCCCUUUGUUUGAAAGCCAAAGCUUUCCAAAGGCUCCAGCCUCCCAGCCUGGCCCUUAUAAUUAGCCCCAAUCAGAGUGUUUAUGUCGGGGCCUAGUGCGGAACUCAGGGCCUCAUGAUUUCAUUCCAAACCUGGGGGGAGGAGAGGGGAGUGAGAGGGACUUGUGUGGGGACAAAGAAAACUGAGGGAUGGGUAACAAAGUUGGUGAGAGAAGAGGAGGCCGUCCUGGAGCAGGAAGACAAUCAGCCUCCGUUUGGCCAUCAUCACACAGAAAGUCUUCCAUGAAAAUGGCUUGGGUGACAUAAAGGAGGUGGCAACAGAUGACAGCUGGAUGGAGGACUCAACUCCUGUUGUCGCUGAUUCAACGAGCACUUCCAACAUUUUGCCCUCUCCAGUAUGAGUCCUUCAACGUCAGCAGCGCCUGAGUAUCACUUGGUAUGCUGGUGAAGACACGGGGCGGAAGGCUGGCCUCACUUCACAGAUUUUGGAUCAGUAGGUCUAGGGCGGGGGCUAAGAACUGGAAUUCCCAGUGAGUUCCCAGGCGAUGCUGCUGGUGCUGGCGCACAUGCCUCACUUUGAGUAGCACUUGAAUGCUUCUUUUUCCCCUCCCUGCUCGGCUGUCUCGUCCCUCUCCCCUCCCUAAGCACAAGCCACCCCAGCUGUUAGGGGCUAAGCACACGGUAGGCAUGGCAGAGGGCCAGGAUCAAACCCUGCGGUGGGAGGGACCCUGUGUGGGAGUCUGAGAGGGGAGGUAUAGAAC
rnacentral:lncRNA from 1 species